rnacentral:rRNA from 1 species
GAGUGGCGGACGGGUGAGUAACACGUGGGUAACCUGCCCUAAAGUGGGGGAUAACAUUUGGAAACAGAUGCUAAUACCGCAUAAAACCUAGCACCGCAUGGUGCAAGGUUGAAAGAUGGUUUCGGCUAUCACUUUAGGAUGGACCCGCGGUGCAUUAGUUAGUUGGUGAGGUAAAGGCUCACCAAGACCGUGAUGCAUAGCCGACCUGAGAGGGUAAUCGGCCACACUGGGACUGAGACACGGCCCAGACUCCUACGGGAGGCAGCAGUAGGGAAUCUUCCACAAUGGACGAAAGUCUGAUGGAGCAACGCCGCGUGAGUGAAGAAGGUUUUCGGAUCGUAAAACUCUGUUGUUGGAGAAGAACGUAUUUGAUAGUAACUGAUCAGGUAGUGACGGUAUCCAACCAGAAAGCCACGGCUAACUACGUGCCAGCAGCCGCGGUAAUACGUAGGUGGCAAGCGUUGUCCGGAUUUAUUGGGCGUAAAGCGAGCGCAGGCGGUUUCUUAAGUCUGAUGUGAAAGCCUUCGGCUCAACCGAAGAAGUGCAUCGGAAACUGGGAAACUUGAGUGCAGAAGAGGACAGUGGAACUCCAUGUGUAGCGGUGAAAUGCGUAGAUAUAUGGAAGAACACCAGUGGCGAAGGCGGCUGUCUGGUCUGUAACUGACGCUGAGGCUCGAAAGCAUGGGUAGCAAACAGGAUUAGAUACCCUGGUAGUCCAUGCCGUAAACGAUGAGUGCUAGGUGUUGGAGGGUUUCCGCCCUUCAGUGCCGCAGCUAACGCAUUAAGCACUCCGCCUGGGGAGUACGACCGCAAGGUUGAAACUCAAAGGAAUUGACGGGGGCCCGCACAAGCGGUGGAGCAUGUGGUUUAAUUCGAAGCAACGCGAAGAACCUUACCAGGUCUUGACAUCCUUUGACCACUCUAGAGAUAGAGCUUUCCCUUCGGGGACAAAGUGACAGGUGGUGCAUGGUUGUCGUCAGCUCGUGUCGUGAGAUGUUGGGUUAAGUCCCGCAACGAGCGCAACCCUUAUUACUAGUUGCCAGCAUUUAGUUGGGCACUCUAGUGAGACUGCCGGUGACAAACCGGAGGAAGGUGGGGACGACGUCAAAUCAUCAUGCCCCUUAUGACCUGGGCUACACACGUGCUACAAUGGAUGGUACAACGAGUCGCGAGACCGCGAGGUUUAGCUAAUCUCUUAAAACCAUUCUCAGUUCGGAUUGUAGGCUGCAACUCGCCUACAUGAAGCCGGAAUCGCUAGUAAUCGCGGAUCAGCAUGCCGCGGUGAAUACGUUCCCGGGCCUUGUACACACCGCCCGUCACACCAUGAGAGUUUGUAACACCCAAAGCCGGUGAGGUAACCUUCGGGAGCCAGCCGUC